rnacentral:misc_RNA from 1 species
CGCACCUUGCGCCUCUUGGUAUUCCGAGAGGCAUGCCUGUUUGAGUGUCAUGAAAUCUCAAUCCCCGAGGGUUUUUAAUCGACCCUCGGUGGACUUGGACUUGGGCGUCUGCCUCCCCAGGCUCGUCUCAAAUGACUCAGUGGGAUCCUGUGACCUACGCCUGACGUAAUAAGUUUCGUCUAGGCCGGUCGCACUGGGCCCGCUCACAACACCCCAUAUCAUUUUGACAUUGACCUCAAAUCAGGUAGGGCUACCCGCUGAACUUAA